UACGGAGGGUGCAAGCGUUAUCCGGAUUCACUGGUUUAAAGGGUGCGUAGGAGGGCAGGUAAGUCAGUGGUGAAAUCCUGGGGCUUAACCCCAGAACUGCCGUUGAUACUAUCUGUCUUGAAUACCGUGGAGAUGAGCGGAAUAUGUCAUGUAGCGGUGAAAUGCUUAGAUAUGAACAUAGAACACCAAUUGCGAAGGCAGCACGUUACACGAAUAUUGACUCUGAGGCACGAAAGCGUGGGGAUCAAACAGG
rnacentral:rRNA from 1 species